rnacentral:rRNA from 1 species
UACGGAGGGUGCAAGCGUUAUCCGGAUUCACUGGGUUUAAAGGGUGCGCAGGCGGAUUGGUAAGUCAGUGGUGAAAGGCUUGAGCUUAACUCGGGAACUGCCAUUGAUACUAUCAGUCUUGAAUAUUGUUGAGGUUUGCGGAAUGGGUCAUGUAGCGGUGAAAUGCAUAGAUAUGACCCGGAACACCUAUUGCGAAGGCAGCAGGCUAAACAAAGAUUGACGCUGAGGCUCGAAAGCGUGGGGAUCAAACAGG